ensembl:lncRNA
GUCUGAAAGAAGAGCAUGUUGUGCUGAUUCUAAAGAAAGAAAAAUACCAUUUGCAUCAUGUUUUGUCCUUCAGCGAUAAAAAGAAAUUUUCAGCAUAGCAAAAGAACAGAUCAAAUGUUAUUCCAGAUUUACAGGAGAAAAGAAAUCACAAGUUACAGAGUUGGAGACCCUACAGAAAACAAAGCAAAGGAGAGGAUAAACACUGAAAAUCCAUGCAAAGAGAGUGGCAAGAAAGAUUCUUAAGUUUAAGCAACCCAGCAUAUUGUCACAGGUUUUGUUAAAAAGAUGUCCUGGCAAGAUCUCCUCCUCCUCUGUCCCAGAUCAUCUAGCUGCAGUUACCAGGCACCAUUGUUUCCUUCUUCAUACGUGUUGAGAGCCAGACUGGAAGUAAUCCAAGCAGCUUCAGUUUUGCCUGAAGUAGCAAAAGAGCGAGGCAAACUUUGCCGUUAUUUUGCCCCUUCAGCGCGGUGCUCAUUACUUCUUCUUCGUGUACUGGGAACAGCGUUUCAAUAAGAGCUCACUGCCUGCACAAAAGGCGAGGUCAGAUCAUGGUGGAAACUGAGAAGUAUUCACGUUCAUACCCGUCUUUGACUCGAGCAGAGCCGCACACGCCCUUGCAGCUCCCUUGAAGACAGAGAGGCCUCGUGCGCACUAAGAAGGUUACUGCUUCCCUGCGGUGGCAAAAUGAUUUCCUGCUGUUCAUCUGCGCCUGAGGGUGGCUGAAUAAUAAUCUGCAAUUAACAAGCGUCAGCUCCUUCACCUUGACCACAGAUACAACCAUUAUUCUUAUUGCCGUUUUUUCAGGACACGUACUAGGUAUUAUUGGUGUAAUUUUUUUAAAGACAGAACCAGAUGUGCAAUAGGGUGCUCAUUAAACAGGGUAACAGGUACACCAACAUGAAGACUUUUCAUAGGCACGUCUCUCCUGCUGUUUUUAACAGAUAGCUAUAGGCAAGAGCUAGUUACCGCUGUGCUUUCUGUUAAUUACAUGCAUUUUUCUUCCUUUGUCUCCUAAUGGAUAAAAAGUAAUUUACAUAUUCCUUUAUAUGAAAUCUUUCUCUCAGUGGAGAUGUUUGUUAGUCUAAUUGAGGUGUCGUUUAUACAAGGUAGUGUCGCUGCUGCUCAGUGACUAUUAUGUGCAUACAUUUCUUUUUGCAGGAUGGUAUAGAGAGCCAAAGAGCAAUGAUGAUUUUCCAAUGUCAAAGGGAAGCCCUCUCUAGGAUGGGAAUUUGUGAAGGUGCUGCCAUUGCUGAUGAGCACAGUAGAGUGAAUCCUUCCCGGAGACGGGAAUUCGACUGGCAGCAUGGUCGUUUCAGUCAGGAACAAGCUCCCRCAUACCAGUAAUGGAUUUCUUUGCCUGUGUAAAAAUUUACUCCUACUAUACUUGUAAGGAUGGUGGCUAAACAGGCAUUGGAAAUAAUACAUUUCCUUUUCACAAUAUGAAUUCGCAGGGGUAGUUGCCAUUUAUCUCUAGUAUGUCAGUGACAUGAGUAGUAGGUUUGCUGAUGGAUUUGUGUGUUUUCUCCUAGCUAGUC